AGAGAGAGACAUGCGCGCAUAUCAAUAAGCGGAGGAAAAGAAACUAACAAGGAUUCCCUUAGUAACGGCGAGUGAAGCGGGAAGAGCUCAAAUUUGAAAUCUUCAAGGUUUUACCUUGACGAAUUGUAGUUUAAAGAAGUGUUUUCUGUUGAAGUUUUGGUAAAAGUUCUUUGGAAUAGGACAUCAUAGAGGGUGAGAAUCCCGUAUUUGACCAUUAUUUUCAGCUGUGUGAUACACUUUCAAAGAGUCGGAUUGUUUGGGAAUGCAGUCCAAAAUGGGUGGUAAAUUUCAUCUAAAGCUAAAUAUUGGCGAGAGACCGAUAGCGAACAAGUACCGUGAGGGAAAGAUGAAAAGAACUUUGAAAAGAGAGUUAAACAGUACGUGAAAUUGUCAAAAGGGAAGCGUUUGACACCAGUGUUGUUUUCUCGAAAAUCAAUUAAAAAAAGUUGGAUUUUGUGUUGUAUUGACCUUAACAGCUUUCUGCACUCUUUUCCUGCUUUUUUUAAUGCACUUUUCGUUUAACAAGUCAACAUCAAUUUCUUUUGUUGUAAAAGGGUCAUUGGAAGGUGGCUUUCUUUUCGGAGAAAGUGUUUAUAGCCUUUGGCCUCUGCAAUCGGAGAGAUUGAGGUCUGCAGCGUAGAUCCUUCGGGGUUAGAUACAUUUGUGCUAAGUUAUAGCCUUUCAUAGACAACUUGUUGACUAUGAUCAGUCAUGUAGCUUACUCGCUUAUGCUAUUUUACCUACGCUUAGGAUGUUGAUAUCCGCUCUCACUG
rnacentral:rRNA from 1 species